CUUCAACAGAUCUAUAUGUUAGAUUCGAAAAGUUUUAAGAUCAUUUUUUUCUUGUGUUUUGUUAGUAUUUUUUUAGUAAUUUAUUUUCCUUAUUGCAGAUUUAUGUAGUGUUUUAUUUGUCGUCGGUAUUGUGUGUUUUCUGUUGGUCUAUCGGUCUCCAUCUCACAUUGUUAAGGAGCAGAUUGUCACCACAGCCAAAGGAUUUUAGUAGAAGCACGUAACGACUUCACCUUGUCUGUAUGAGCAGUGUGCAUGUCAUCCCUCUUGUAAUAAACUGUACCUAGGCUAGAAUAUUCUCUGUAUAAAACCUCUCUCUCGUUGUAGCUGUGCCUAUAAAAAGGCAUCAUUGUAAUGCUUCAAAUAUACAUGAACAUACAUGUUUAAAAGCAGAGUUCAUUUCCUUUAGCAUGGUAUCAAGAGCCUAACAGACUAACAUCCAUGGCACCUCCCAAGCCUCAGAAUCCUAAUCCUUCCCUCACCAUUUCUGUCAAACUCACCCCAGAAAAUUAUCUCUUAUGGAAAGUGUAGCUUGUGCCUUAUCUUCAUGGCCAACGCUUGUACAAAUACGUAGAUGGCUCCUGUUCUGCCCUUAAAACCCAACUUGACAAUGGUGCUCCCAAUCCCGAAUAUGAUACCUGGAUUGAGCAGGAUCAAUUAGUGAUGUCUAUGCUCAUCUCCUCCUUACAAGAACCUAUCAUGGCUGAAGUUGUGGGCUGUACUUCUGCUCGUGAAGUCUGGCUCUCUCUCGAGUCAACAUAUGCAUCUAUUUCUCAAUCUUGAAUUCUCCAAACCCAACUCAAACUAGCCUCCCUCAAGAAAGGAACCGAUACAAUCUCAGUUUACUUUCGUAAUGCUAAGCAUUACUUUCGUAACGCUUGACAAUGGUCCUUUACCUCCUGAAGAUUUUGUUCCUUAUCUUUUUGCUGGUCUUGGACUUGAAUAUGAUGGUCUUGUCACCUUUGUUACUUCUCGCGUCACUCCUAUUUCUCCAAGUGAAAUUCUUAGCCACCUGCUUGCCCAUGAAGCUCGAAUGAUACACCACAAUGAAAACAACCUUUUUCCCACUUAAGCAUAUGCUCAGUACAUGACUAAAAAUCAAUGUGGUCGAGGCCAACGAUGGGGUUGCAACAACCGUGGGCAUGGUCGCUCAAAUCGUGGUUGUGAACCACUUGGAGGUAAUCAUGGUAGCACUCAGUUUUCACAUACUGGCACUCGUUUGGUAUGCCAGGUUUGUAACCGCCAAGGGCACUCUGCCCUCACUUGCAUUUACUACUCCAAGUGGUUGUGAACCACUUGGAGGUAAUCAUGGUAGCACUCAGUUUUCACAUACUGACACUCGUUUGGUGUGCUAGGUUUGUAACCGCCAAGGGCACUCUGCCCUCACUUGCAUUUACCGCUUCAACCAGGCGUACACUUCCUCAUCACCAAUUUCUGCAAACUAUACCUCCAACUAUCCUUCAGAUUCCAGCUAGUAUCCUGGCACGGUAGCAACGCAUCAUAUCACAAGUGACUUGUCCGAUUGAUUCUGUAGGCUGUCGAGUACCAUGGUGAUGAUUCCUUGCGUGUUGGCGAUGGCUCCACAAUUCCCAUAUCUCAUUCCGGAACGAACAACGGGGAAGCCUCUACUUCGCGGAACCACGCAUAAUGGGCUCUACUCCUUCAUGCCUCCAUUGUCGCCUCCUUCAGCUCACACAACUUCUCUCUCAAUUCCAACAUGGCAUUCAAGACUCGGGCAUCCCUCCAUUAAACUUGUCCGUUCCAUUUUACAGCAUUAUAAUCUUCCUUAUGAUCGUUUAAUAAUGCCAUCCUUUUGUAAUGCAUGUCCUCAAGGAAAGUCCCAUAGACAACCUGCACUCACUAGGAGUCACAAGUCUAUCUCCCCCUUUCAACUUGUGUUUUCUGAUUUAUGGGGUCCUUCUCCACAUGUAUCUCAUGAUGGACAUAAAUAUUAUAUUAGUUUUAUGGAUGAUUAUUCCCGUUA